CAGGGAAUAUUGCACAAUGGGCGAAAGCCUGAUGCAGCGACACCGCGUGCGGGAUGAAGGCCUUCGGGUUGUAAACCGCUUUCAGGAGGGACGAAAAUGACGGUACCUCCAGAAGAAGCCCCGGCCAACUACGUGCCAGCAGCCGCGGUAACACGUAGGGGGCGAACGUUGUCCGGAUUUAUUGGGCGUAAAGGGCUCGUAGGCGGUUCAGCAAGUCGGCCGUGAAAACCCGGGGCUCAACCCCGGGACGCCGGUCGAAACUGCUGUGACUAGGGUCCGGUAGAGGUCACUGGAAUUCUCGGUGUAGCGGUGAAAUGCGCAGAUAUCGAGAGGAACACCAGUAGCGAAGGCGGGUGACUGGGCCGGUACCGACGCUGAGGAGCGAAAGCGUGGGGAGCAAACAGGAUUAGAUACCCCCGUAGUCC
rnacentral:rRNA from 1 species